rnacentral:rRNA from 1 species
UACGAAGGGGGGCUAGCGUUGCUCGGAAUCACUGGGCGUAAAGCGCACGUAGGCGGAUUGCUAAGUCAGGGGUGAAAUCCCCGGGCUUAACCUGGGAAUGGCAUUUGGGACUGCAAGGCUCGAGUGCGGCAGAGGAGACUGGAAUCCCUGGUGUAGCAGUGAAAUGCGUAGAGAUCAUGAGGAAGACCAGUGGCGAAGGCGGCACUCUGGGCUGGAACUGACGCUGAGGAGCGAAAGCGUGGGUAGCAAACAGG